rnacentral:sRNA from 1 species
AAAAAUGAAGACGGGACAUUUUGAAAUAGUCACCAUGCUGCUGGCAACCAUGAUUCUAGUGGACAUUUUCCAGGUGAGAAAAACUGGAAGCUUGAAGACCAUGGUGAGAAAAACCAGAAGCUUGAAGACCAUGGUGUGAAAAUCCUUGAACCCACCCAAAUACCUGCUCCAGGUCCAGUUCCUGUUCCAGGUCCCAAAAGCCAUCCUUCUGCAUCCUUGGGCAAACUGCUGCUUCCACAGUUUGGGAUGGUCAUCAUUUUAAUCAGUGUUUCUGCUAUAAAUCUCUUUGUUGCUCUGUAGUUUGAUGCAUUGUUUAUC